rnacentral:rRNA from 1 species
AUGACCAACACCAAAUUUAUUUGUAUCAACGACCACCACGAUGUAGAAGACGUUGGUCUAUGUCAAGUUAUGGCAGCUUCACUUGAUAACAGGAUGCAUCCUAAUCAGGAGAAUAUUAAGGUUCAACCAGAGUCAACGGUUGGUGUUGUGCCAAAAUAUGGGAUGCGCGCUAUGGAAGGGAAGAACUCCUUCACAUGCACGUUUGAAGGUUUGCAACAACUUGAUUGUUUGUUUAUGUUGUCACGUGCAGAGCAAGACCCAGCUGUAUGUGUACGAGAGAUAUAUUUUAUUGAGACUAAGCAAAGAAUCCUAAUCAGCUACUACUUCUCCCGAUCAAGACCGCCAGAGCAAGCGUACGCCAGCAUGUUUGAUCGGUGGAAAUUGCUUUCCUUGAGAGACAUUGGAUGGGGGCCACCCAAUAAUUUGUAUUUAAUAAUUUUAGUAUUUAAUGUGUAA